GACGAACGCUGGCGGCGUGCUUAACACAUGCAAGUCGAACGAAGAGCGAUGGACGCUUGCUUCUAUCAAUCUUAGUGGCGAACGGGUGAGUAACGCGUAAUCAACCUGCCCUUCAGAGGGGGACAACAGUUGGAAACGACUGCUAAUACCGCAUACGAUCCAAUCUCGGCAUCGGGACUGGAUGAAAGGUGGCCUCUAUUUAUAAGCUAUCACUGAAGGAGGGGAUUGCGUCUGAUUAGCUAGUUGGAGGGGUAACGGCCCACCAAGGCGAUGAUCAGUAGCCGGUCUGAGAGGAUGAACGGCCACAUUGGGACUGAGACACGGCCCAGACUCCUACGGGAGGCAGCAGUGGGGAAUCUUCCGCAAUGGACGAAAGUCUGACGGAGCAACGCCGCGUGAGUGAUGACGGCCUUCGGGUUGUAAAGCUCUGUUAAUCGGGACGAAUGGUUCUUGUGCGAAUAGUGCGAGGAUUUGACGGUACCGGAAUAGAAAGCCACGGCUAACUACGUG
rnacentral:rRNA from 1 species